AGAGUUUGAUCAUGGCUCAGGACGAACGCUGUCGGCAUGCCUAACACAUGCAAGUUGAACGGAGAUUAUUUCGAUAAUCUUAGUGGCGAACGGGUGAGUAACGCGUGGGCAACCUGCCCUCUAGAUGGGGACAACAUUCCGAAAGGGGUGCUAAUACCGAAUGUGACAGCAAUCUCGCAUGAGGAUGCUGUGAAAGAUGGCCUCUAUUUAUAAGCUAUCGCUAGAGGAUGGG
rnacentral:rRNA from 1 species